ensembl:lncRNA
AAGUACUGUUGUAGGGGUAGGAAGUAAUGUCGUAGGGGUAGGGAGGACUGUUGUACGGUAGGGAGGACUGUUGUAGGGGUAGGGAGGACUGUUGUCAGGGUAGGGAGGACUGUUGUAGGGGUAGGAAGUACUGUUGUCAGAGUAGGAAGUACUGUUGUAGGGGUAGGGAGAACUGUUGUAGGGGUAGGGAGUACUGUUGUAGGGGUAGGAAGUACUGUUGUCAGAGUAGGGAGUACUGUUGUAGGGGUAGGGAGGACUGUUGUAGAGGUAGGAAGUAAUGUUGUCGGAGUAGGAUGUACUCUUGUAGGGGUAGGGAGUAGUGUUGUAGGGG